rnacentral:lncRNA from 1 species
AGUAGGGCUGGAUCAGGCGGAAGCCGGGGCCCGGGGCUGGGCUUCGUGUCCUGCGUUCCGGGAGCGCCAACCCCUCCAGGCUGGAGUGCAGUGGCGAGAUCUCGGCUCACUGCAGCCUCAACCUCCCAAGGCUCAAACGAUCCUCUCGCCUCAGCCUUCUGAGUAGCUGGGAUCACAGAGGGGACGUGGCUGGUGGCUGGAGAAGCUGGAUUUGCCCUUUGAUGGUGGCCCUCUUGAUCCCCGGCUUGCUGAAGUCAAAGGAGAGGCUGUCGAUGCUGAGGCACGAGAGAAUUUGCUCCUGCUCCUCCAGAGAAAAUGGCUGGGACAGGCUGUUGAGGAAUAAUUCUGCAGGGAAAAGUGGAAGAUGGCUGUGAAAGACUGGGAGGAGGCUGGCUGUGUUUUCAGGGGUUCUUCCUGCACAGUCGGUAGAAGCUGAGCUGCUGGGGAAGGGGCUGGAAGAAAGCCCACACCGCAGGUAUCAGUAGCAAAUUCAAAAACUACAGAAUCAGCUCCAGAGGACUUUGUUAACAAGAAAGAGAAGAUUGAAAACAGCCCUGGGGCUACACCAACUCAAGAGCUCCCAGGCAAAGUGGCAUCCUGGACCCACCAUCUCUCCUACCCCAUCCUCAGUCGGUACUUCCCCAGGCACCGUUUGUUCUGGCAUGGGGCUAGUUCAGCCCUGGGACCACCCUCAUCCUUAUAACUACCAGCUGUCUUUGGUGAGGUGCAAGAUCUCUCUGGUUUUCUUUAUUUCAUUUUCAUUCCUAUAAUCACAGCCUUUUUUGUGCCCAUCCCUCAGGUGACAUUCUAUUAUGUUUGAUGUGUCAUUUUUGAUUUGGUUGUGUCCUUGCAAAAUGUGCGUUGUUUUAUUUAUCAAUUUAUUUUUAUUUUUAUUUUUUUAAAGAGAUGAGGUCUCAUCAUGUUGCCCAGGCUGGACUCCAACUCCUGGGCUCAAGCGAUCCUUCCACCUCAAUCUUCUGAGUGGCUGGGACUACAGAUGUGCGCCACCAUACCUGGCUAUUGAUCAAUUUUUAGUUUACCAAACAGGCAUUAUGUUCUGGGUCCCAUUCUGUGUCGGGUUCUCUUUUCACUCGGCA